GGGUUGUGAGGUUAAGCGACUAAGCGUACACGGUGGAUGCCCUGGCAGUCAGAGGCGAUGAAGGGCGUGCUAAUCUGCGAUAAGCGCCGGUAAGGUGAUAUGAACCGUUAUAACCGGCGAUACCCGAAUGGGGAAACCCAGUGUGAUUCGUCACACUAUCAUUAACUGAAUCCAUAGGUUAAUGAGGCGAACCGGGGGAACUGAAACAUCUAAGUACCCCGAGGAAAAGAAAUCAACCGAGAUUCCCCCAGUAGCGGCGAGCGAACGGGGAGGAGCCCAGAGCCUGAAUCAGCAUGUGUGUUAGUGGAAGCGUCUGGAAAGGCGCGCGAUACAGGGUGACAGCCCCGUACACAAAAGCGCAUGUGCUGUGAGCUCGAUGAGUAGGGCGGGACACGUGGUAUCCUGUCUGAAUAUGGGGGGACCAUCCUCCAAGGCUAAAUACUCCUGACUGACCGAUAGUGAACCAGUACCGUGAGGGAAAGGCGAAAAGAACCCCGGCGAGGGGAGUGAAAAAGAACCUGAAACCGUGUACGUACAAGC
rnacentral:rRNA from 3 species